CCUACGGGCGGCUGCAGUGGGGAAUAUUGGACAAUGGGCGAAAGCCUGAUCCAGCCAUGCCGCGUGUGUGAAGAAGGCCUUCGGGUUGUAAAGCACUUUCAGUGGGGAAGAAAGCCUUGGGGCUAAUACCCUCGAGGAAGGACAUCACCCACAGAAGAAGCACCGGCUAACUCCGUGCCAGCAGCCGCGGUAAUACGGAGGGUGCGAGCGUUAAUCGGAAUUACUGGGCGUAAAGGCGCGCGUAGGCGGUCUGAUAAGCCGGUUGUGAAAGCCCCGGGCUCAACCUGGGAACGGCAUCCGGAACUGUCAGGCUAGAGUGCAGGAGAGGAAGGUAGAAUUCCCGGUGUAGCGGUGAAAUGCGUAGAGAUCGGGAGGAAUACCAGUGGCGAAGGCGGCCUUCUGGACUGACACUGACGCUGAGGUGCGAAAGCGUGGGUAGCAAACAGGAUUAGAUACCCGUGUAGGC
rnacentral:rRNA from 1 species